GCAUAUCAAUAAGCGGAGGAAAAGAAACCAACAGGGAUUGCCUCAGUAGCGGCGAGUGAAGCGGCAAAAGCUCAAAUUUGAAAUCUGGCGUCUUUGGCGUCCGAGUUGUAAUUUGAAGAAGGUAUCUUUGGGCCCGGCUCUUGUCUAUGUUCCUUGGAACAGGACGUCACAGAGGGUGAGAAUCCCGUGCGAUGAGAUGACCCGGGUCUGUGUAAAGUUCCUUCGACGAGUCGAGUUGUUUGGGAAUGCAGCUCUAAGUGGGUGGUAAAUUCCAUCUAAAGCUAAAUAUUGGCGAGAGACCGAUAGCGAACAAGUACAGUGAUGGAAAGAUGAAAAGAACUUUGAAAAGAGAGUGAAAAAGUACGUGAAAUUGUUGAAAGGGAAGGGCUUGAGAUCAGACUUGGUAUUUUGCAUGCUGCUCUCUCGGGGGCGGCCGCUGCGGUUUACCGGGCCAGCAUCGGUUUGGAGCGGCAGGAUAAUGGCGGAGGAAUGUGGCACGGCUUCUGCUGUGUGUUAUAGCCUCUGACGAUACUGCCAGCCUAGACCGAGGACUGCGGUUUUUACCUAGGAUGUUGGCAUAAUGAUCUUAAGUCGCCCGUCUUGAAACACGGACC
rnacentral:rRNA from 1 species